UCCGGUUCGGAUCCGAACUCAAAGGCCAGUUCGAUCAGGAUCCUAAUUGUGUGCUAUCCACUGUGCAUAUGCUCUAAGAUUUGCUACUUCGGCAUCAAGGUCCGCACAUUCGAUGCCGUCUACACCAUCAAUGCCGAUACGGAGAAACUGUAAGCACAACAGGUCGGGGGGGUGGUGUGGAGAAGCUACGAGUGCCGUAAGUAGAAGAGCCACAG
rnacentral:lncRNA from 1 species